CGUUGAGAUUCCGUGGGUGCGAGUCACUUGAAGAGCUUCCUAGAAAUAAAAUGUGCAAUCUGAUCAGCUUGAGGCAUAUUGAAUUUUCUGAAGAUCACCACAUGCCAUCUAAGGUGGGGUGGUUAACAUGUCUCCAAACACUUUCAUUAUUUGUUGUGGGUCCAGAUGGGGGAGGUAGCAUUCAAGAACUACAAUGCUUAAAUCAACUAAGAGGAAAGUUGGAAAUAAAUCAUCUUGAGAAGGUGAGAGACAAAGAAGAAGCUAAGAAAUCAAAUCUACUGGGGAAAACGAAAUUGAGUGCCCUUAAAUUUGUAUGGAGUGAUUUUGGAAGAGAAAGCAGCAGCGGCAGCAAUGAUGAGGAGGUGUUGGAAGGGCUUGAGCCUCACCCAAACAUAGAGAGGAUAGAGAUUUGGAAUUAUUUGGGUGAAAAGUUCCCACCGUGGCUGUUUAUGAUGAAAAUUCUGAGUGAAGGUGAUGUUGGAUUAUUGAGACGAAGAGAGCUUGAUUUUACUUUCUUAAAACAGAGCUUGAAGUUACAAACAUAAAUAGAGCAAAAAAAAAAAAUGUUUAAAGAUGAAGAGAAAAACAUAAAUUUCAUUACUGAAACAUAAAUAGAACAUACGCUACUUUUUUACCUCAUUUCACUAGCUCUCUCCAAAUCUUUUCUCUCUGCCCUAUUUUUAUUUAUUUAUUUCUUUUUUCAGCAGCAACCUCUUCCUUCUUAUGAGGAAAGAUUGCUUUCUUUUUAUUUUCCUUUUCUUACACAUAUUUUUACCUACUGAAAUCUCAUCAACUCUAACAGGUGAUUCUUUCACAGUACUUGAUAAUUUGGUGGAACUUCAAUUGUGGAGGUGCAAGUGGUGUGAAAAACUCCCAAGGCUUGGACAUCUUCCUCAUCUUAAAACGAUUGAAAUAGGACGAAUGGAUAAGAUCCGCUGCAUAGGGAAUGAAUUCUAUGGCAUUGACGGUGGAAGCACCAGCAAUGGAGGGAGAACAUUUCCUGCAUUAAAGAAAUUACGGUUAAGUUAUAUGCAGUGUUUAGUUGAAUGGAAGGCACCAAUAGAUGGAGGAGGUGAAACAUCUGUUUUUCCUUGCCUCGAAGUAUUGUCCAUAUGGGAUUGUCCUCGGUUGACAAAAAUUCCAUUAAGCGAUCUUCCAUAGCUUCAAAGACUGGAAAUCGAUGGUUGUGAAAAAUUCUUAUUUAAUGAGCUAUACACCUUCCCAUCUCUUAAAAGCAUUAAACUUAGAGGGUGUAGCAAAUUAACUUGCCUUCCAAGUGGGCUAAAAUCCUCCACUUCUUUGGAAUCAUUGGAAAUAGAUAGAUGCAACAGGUUGACAUCUGUUCCGGAAUAUUUAGGAGAAUUGCUUUCUCUUAAUAUUUUACGAAUAACAGGGUGUCAAAGUUUGAGUUACUUUUCAGAGACAAUAUUAGGGGGGCUCACUCAAUUGAGGAAUCUAGAAAUUGGUCCAUUCUCAGAGGAGUUGGAUUCUUUCUCUUAUCUGAAUUCAAUCCAAGACCUUCCAUCCCUUGAAUCCUUAUCUAUAUAUGACGAUGGUGCAGGCAGAAUAAAGUCUCUACCAGAUCAACUUCAACGACUCACUGCCCUAAACUCAUUGUCUAUAUGGGAUUUCAAUGGAGUGGAAGCUUUGCCGGAGUGGUUGGGCAACCUUUCCUCUCUUCAAUCCCUUGAAAUUUGGGAUUGUGAGAAUCUGAAGUAUCUACCUACAGCUACAGCCAUGCAACGCCUCUCCAAAUUAAGGAAUCUCGGUAUUGUGUCUUGUCCCCAUCUUGUGAUAAAUUGCGCCAAGGAUAGUGGCUCUGAGUGGUCCAAGAUAUCUCAUAUCCCAUAUAUACGUAUACAAGGGUAAUUACCAUUUUUUUUUCCCGGCUCUUUGGAUGCGCACAUUGAACUAGCUUUAUUAGUGAAUUCUCAGAUGGAAACAAGGUUCAAAGUCACUCUAUUUUUGACCUGGAAUAAUUAAGUUACAUGUUGGAGUCUCAGAAAUAAGCUCUUUGCCAAAGAAAGGAAGAAAAAAGCUGGAAAAUUUUCCUCCACAUAAUAUUUCAUGAGGUCAUUUAUGUAGCUGCUGGAGGCCUUCGUCGUGAUUCCAUGAUACAAAAUCCUUGAUGAAGUCAUUUAUGUAGCUGUCUGCAGUUCCACUCGCUCCAAUUCCAUGUAAUGGGACAUUUUAAGCUGCUACCUCGAAUGCAAGAUUAAGAUUACUAAUGGGGAUAUGUUGCUAUUGUUAAAUCUUACAUUUUUGAGCAAUUCUGAUAGUCUCACUGUUUGUUGGAGAUUGCAGGAGGCAAGAUUAUUUCAUAUGCACAUUUGCUAAGUCUUUUCUGGAAUUUUCUCCUUUCAUUUGAGCCAGUUGGGAAAGGCAAAAAAUUUUCAACUGAGUUGAAAGUCAAUGAGGCGUUCCAUUUUAAUUUUUUUUUAUGGAUAUUUGAAUUUCAGCCAUUGGUAAUCUCUAAUUAAUAUUGACUAAUUGUGGUCAAUUGUGACUUUGAUAAUGAAACACAUUUGCAAUGAAGAGGUUAACUGUUUUGUUGUGCUUUUAGAAUGUCUUUGGUGCUGUCAAUGUUCUCCCAAGUGGAAGACAAAAAAAGCUUUGGAGAUUGUUAUUAUCUCCUCAAGGGACAAAUUUCAAGUUUUUGUGCAAUAAAGAUGAGUUGGCAUCACCAGCUUGAGCUUUGA